GAUCCUGAUGCUACAACCCGACUGGGGGAUGGCUCGGCUCGAGAGCCGAAGAAGGUCGUGACAAGCUGCGAUAAGUCGCGGGGAGAGGCAUGAAUCUCUUGGAUCCGCGAAUUGCCGAAUGGGACCUCCUGGCACUAUGUGCCAUUCCUCUCAAGGAAAGGGAACCCCCCGAACUGAAGCAUCUUAGUAGGGGGUGGAAAAGAAAUCAAAAGAAAUUCCGUUAGUAGUGGCGAAUGAACACGGAACAGGACAAACCGAACCGCAUUGGGAAACCUUUGCGGAAUGUGGGGUGCGGGCCAUCUCUACCUAAGUCGUGGAAGUGGAAGUCGUCCUGGAACGGCACACCAUAGAGGGUGAAAGUCCCGUACACGCAAACGACAUGGUAUUGUGAUGGAGCCCCGAGUAGCGUGCGUCGGAUAUCGCGCGUGAAUAUGGGAGGCAGGAACUUCCAAUCCUAAAUACUACUCGAGACCGAUAGUGGAUAAGUAGCGUGAGCGAACGCUGAAAAGUAUCCUUAGCGGGAUGUGAAAAGACCCUGAAACCAGUCGGGAUCAGACUGAUAUGGCGUGAAAGCGAAGACAUGAGCAGCGUCAUAUCGUGCGUUUUGAAUAAUG
rnacentral:rRNA from 1 species